rnacentral:lncRNA from 1 species
AAAAAAAUAAAAAAUAAUAAAACCAAAUUAUUAUUGACUUUUUUCAAAAUUUAGCAUACAAUCAAUAUGUGUUGUGUCAUGUGGCAAUAAAUUAUUAAACAGAUAAAUAAAUAAAACCAACAAUAAAACAUAAAAGAUAAAAUAUAAUUAAAUCUCCUCUUCUAUCUUAUCCUACUUUUUCUUCUACAACUUUUUCAAUCUCUCUAAAAUCCCUAUUUAUCUCAAUUUCAAUGGAAAGCAAAAAACUAAAAUAAAAUCUUCUUCAUCCCUACAUGUCUAAAAC